ensembl:lncRNA
UGACCGCCGGCCAUUUGCUGUGUGCGUCAACUACGACUAAGAACAUACGGUCAUCCAGUGGGCCUUCAUAGUCUAUGUGGACUCGUUGCCAAGGCUCCUCUGGGAAGUCCCAUGGUUGUAGUGGUACUAGCUGAGGCAUGUUCCUCAUCUUUUGACAUGCAGAACAUGACUUGACCUUGUCUUCGAUAGCUACGUCCAAACUUGGCCACCAAAAGUAGCUGGGUGCAAUCUUCUUCAUUCGCACCAUGCCACAGUGCCCUGAAUGGAGUUCUUUAAGCACUUGCCUCAAUGGUGGCGGUAUGAUGACUCGAGAACCCCAUAGCAAGCAUCCAAACUGAACUGUGAGCUCGUUUCUCCUCACUAGGUAAGGUUGUAGGUUGUCUGACAGCACUCCUUUUCCACGAGUGACCAUGUCCAGGACCUCAGACAUCACUGGAUCAGUGCGGGAAUACCUUUUCAUUUGGACAGAAGUAACUGGGGCGUCCGUCACUUCCUUGAAGUAGAAGAUUUCAGCCUGGGAGUGCUCAGUGUGUGUGACAGCUGGCUGCAAGCAACGGAAUGUCGGUGUGGGACCAAAGAUGGAGGUGAGGUGUUUAUGGUCCGUCAGCAGUGUGAAUCGUCGGCCAAACAGAAACGGAUGAAAUUUCUUAACUCCAAACACAAUGGAUGGCCACCCUGCUCAGCAAGUUCAGGAUAGACUUCUCCGACAUCAACGUACUAGGAGACAUCAACACCAAGCCCAAGAAAGAGAAAACCUGAGCCCUAGGACCAUGCCUCAGGACUACCUGCCCUUAUGACUCCUGGCUGUCCCCGGUCUAACUGGUUGUGCUGCUGCUCCAGUUUCAUCUGUUCAAUGGAACUCUGACCUGUUCACCGGACAUUCUACCUUUUCCCGGACCUGCUGUCUCGACCUCUGAAUGACCGGCUAUGAAAAGCCAACUGACAUUUGUGAAUCUUUUCAGGAAACUCAGUGUAUUUCGCAGGUCACUACUUCACAAGAGAACCAUUUGAAUGUAAACUUUUUUUAAUAUCAAAAUGCAUUUGCCUUAAUAACAAACUUU